AUAACUAAGCGGAGGAAAAGAAACUAACCAGGAUUCCCCCAGUAACGGCGAGUGAAGCGGGAAGAGCUCACAUUUAAAAUCUGGCACUCGUGCCGAAUUGUAGUCUAAAGAGGUGGGGCCCAGCAGACGAGGUGCUUCGAAGUCUCUUGGAAAAGAGCAUCAAGGAGGGUGACAAUCCCGUUGAACACCGCAAUCGUCUUGCGUGCGGUCCGCUUUCUAUGAGUCGAGUUGCUUGGGAUUGCAGCUCAAAGUGGGUGGUAAAUUCCAUCUAAAGCUAAAUACGCGUGGGAGACCGAUAGCGAACAAGUACCGUGAGGGAAAGAUGCAAAGAACUUUGAAAAGAGAGUGAAAGAGUGCCUGAAAUUGCUGAAAGGGAAGCGAAGGAUAAUCAGUGUCUGGCGGUUCCGCUUCUCCUGCGUUCCUCGGAACGCUGGAUCGCGUUUCCGUCGUGGUCAGUGCCGGCUAGCGUCGCGGGAGCCUGCGUCACGGGAGGUACGUCUCCUCGGAGAUGGAAUGCCGUGGCGUGUCGUCGCGAGGGUGGCCGGCCCUGACGAAAUGGUUUUCUUCAC
rnacentral:rRNA from 1 species